CGAUCCGGCUCUGUACCACACUCAGCCCACCAUUGGGUGCCUGCAUCUCGAUAAUCCAAGCUCGAGGUGUGGUUUUCACUUGAAAACCUACUAAUCAUGAUUGUGUAUUCUUUUCCUGUAAUCGACUCAAGGGCUCAAGGCUGUUUGCGUUUUUCCUUGCGAACAAGGAAUGGAAGAAGGUUGUACGCC
rnacentral:sRNA from 1 species